rnacentral:rRNA from 1 species
GAUGAACGCUGGCGGCGUGCCUAACACAUGCAAGUCGAGCGAGAAGUAAAGAAAUGAAGCUUCGGUAGAUCUUCAUUAUGGAAAGCGGCGGACGGGUGAGUAACGCGUAGGCAACCUGCCCUGUACAGGGGGAUAGCCACCCGAAAAGGUGAUUAAUACCCCAUGAUGCAAGAGAUACACAUGUAUCACUUGUCAAAGAUUUAUCGGUAUGGGAUGGGCCUGCGUCUGAUUAGCUAGUUGGUAGGGUAACGGCUUACCAAGGCAACGAUCAGUAGCCGACCUGAGAGGGUGAUCGGCCACAUUGGAAACUGAGACACGGUCCAAAACUCCUACGGGAGGGCAAG